rnacentral:tRNA from 1 species
UCCCUGGUGGGGUUAGUCGGUAAAGCGUCUGCCUACAAUGCAGGAGAUCCAGGUUCAAUUCCUGGGUUGGGAA